rnacentral:rRNA from 1 species
UACGUAGGGCGCAAGCGUUAUCCGGAAUUAUUGGGCGUAAAGAGCUCGUAGGCGGUUUGUCGCGUCUGCCGUGAAAGUCCGGGGCUCAACUCCGGAUCUGCGGUGGGUACGGGCAGACUAGAGUGAUGUAGGGGAGACUGGAAUUCCUGGUGUAGCGGUGAAAUGCGCAGAUAUCAGGAGGAACACCGAUGGCGAAGGCAGGUCUCUGGGCAUUAACUGACGCUGAGGAGCGAAAGCAUGGGAAGCGAACAGG